GAUCUAGUGGCCAAGCCAUAUCCACCUUGUUUGGGAUCUAUAACAGCAAUAGAAAAAUGUAUGAAAACUUCCAUUGAUUUAGUUCCAGAGUUUCUACUACACUUACUGGUUCCUAUCCUCCACAGACUCUUUUACUGGCAGUCACCUGGCAUCCUGUGAAAUAUUACUGCUUUCGUCUUCAAAGAGCACUAGCUUCAGAAGAGGCCGCACAGUGAUUGUGGUGGAUCAAGAGAAAAAGAACAACUCUCUACAGUCAGAUGGUGCUCACACCUGAGGUUCAAAGAAGACUCAGGAUUCCUUGAAGGAGGAGCCCAAAAUCAGCAACAGGUAGCAGCACAGCAUCCAAAGCCACCCACCUCCAAGCUUUCCCUUGGGCU